AAAUCACUAUAUUUCAAUUGUCACAUCCUCUGAAAUUACAUAAACCUAAAUAACCAACCAAUACUAUCACCUCCGCCACCAAUACCAGCCUGCUUCUGCUCCCAUGUGACCCUUUCUUUCUCUCGUCAUCUAUCACUUCACUGCCUCUGCCGCAACCUCUUCGUCUCCAUGCAAGAUUGGGUGCAAAACGACGCCACCGUCUCGUCUCAAGGUGCUGUUUCAACUCGGCCUUGUACUACAGCCUCGCCGUCUUCUGCCAAAACUCUUGUUCCCGAUGAUGAUUUCUCUCUCGCGAAGGUCUUAACCAAAUGGGAUUUCUCUUUGUUCCAUUUUCUGCUGUUUUAUGGCAAACUAAUAUAUUUGCUACUUGCCUCGCCUGCAGUGUGGUCAGUCGCAUUCAUUUAUUUUGAGAAAUGAAAUUAGGUUAUAUGGGAAUAAAAAAUUUCAAAUUCAAGUUUGUAGUUAAAAAAUAUAUGUAAGUUUUGAUCCGCAUUUUUGAGUCUAUCAAACUUCAUAAUGUUAAAAUCCUUUCAUUUCCUGCUCCUCCUCUCCAAAUUCAACCUUAUGCUAUUGUCCGAUAUUUUCAGGUCUCAUUUCGUGUUAUUGGGCUGGGUUUCAGGAUUUCACUUUUUUUGUGAGUUCUUUUACCUUUUGAUGGUACCUAGUACUCUUAAGUUGAAUGCUGAUUGUGCAUAAUCUGCAGUAUGCAGAACUGAAGCCAUUACCAUGACUGACUUAUUCUGAUGCUCACAUGUUAGGGAAACAAGUGCAACUCCAAUCUUUAAACAGUUAAUUUGACUUGGAAGAUUUUGUGAACUUGGGUUAGUGCUGAACCAAUUUUCAAGUAUUAAAUCAAAAUAUAAAAUGCAGAAAUUGAAAAACAUCUCCAAAAACAGGGCCUUUUAUCGGCUGAUUUCCUUCUAAUAACACUGCCAAUUUGCAUUUUUGACUACUUAUUUUUCAAUUGACAUUGCAUUUGGUAUAGGAUUAAAAAAAUAGAUGAAAUUUCUAUGUACACAGAUGUAAAUAUUUAAGGGCCAUAGUUAUUCAUUCAUAUAUGUUAUCGUGGUUAUGUUGGUAAUGCUGAUGAACAAUUACUGCAAUGCCAAUGAUGGUGGUAUGGUGCUAAUGGUGAUGGUACUAAUGUUUUUUUUGUCUCGGUGGUAGUGGUGGCAGUAAUGAUGGUGUUUUACUGUGGUGAUGCUAGUGCUUUCAGUGAUGGGAGUAGUGUGGUUAUGGUGGUGGUAGUAUCUGAGGUAAUGGCUGUGGCAUUAUUGGCGGUGAUAAUGGUAGUAUGAUGAAACAUUACUAUGUGUAUGGCAGGAUGCAUGCUAUGCUUGUCAACUUUCAUAAAUGGAAUGACUUAUUAUAGUCUUAAUUAGGUCAGGAUGAUGUUACAAGAUAUCGAUACGAGAUGAGCUGCAGUUGGAUGAGGCACUGAAACGAAUUUUCCAGUAUGGUCAGGGUGGAGGAAUUCCAAGGAGGAGUGCGCCUAUUCUACAGAUGAUUCAUGAAGAGGUAACAGAAGAUGGUAAUACUGCCAGUCCUGGUGUUUGAGGCAAGCAUUACACUUGUCGGAUUUUGAAAAAAAGACGGGUAACAAUUGCAUGAGCUUGCAAAAUUGACUUUCUGAGUGUUGAAUAUAUGUUACUUUGGGUUUAUUAUGCAGAGGCUGUUUGAAGUUCUUGGUUGUGUAUAAGCGUUUGAUAUUCUUUCACCCUGUAUACUCCAGUAAACAAAUAGUUGGAAGCAAUACUUAUGCUGAAAUAACGAUUUUCAGGCAAAAUUUGCUUCAUUCUUUGGACCCAACAUCGCAGCUGAAGUUGGUGAGUCUUACUUCUCUGUCUAAAAUAAAAAUUUUGAUGUCAUUAAGGCAUGUAGCAGCUGGAGAAUUGCGUGCAUAUUGAAAUAAUGAAAUUUGUAUAUAAUUAUGGUUUACAGGGAAUGGGGAGAAUAAUCUAUGCGAAGUCCGACUAAUUUCAAAUUUAAAUGCCAUCUUCAUGAAGUUUUGAUGGUAUCUAUUUACUUUGGCUUUUGUUCAUUAAAGUAGUAUAUAUGAAAGAUGAAUGAACAAGUGAAUGAAACGAUGGACAAAGAUGAUAAGAAAAAUACAGAAUUACUAGCGAGUAUCUUUUUCUAUCAAAAUGGAUCUCUUAUGGUCACGAGUAAAAGGCCAAGGGCAAUUUUUUUAAAAAAUAUAAAAA
rnacentral:misc_RNA from 1 species